rnacentral:tRNA from 1 species
GGAGAAAUGGCUUAGCAGUUGAGAGCACUGGCUGCUUUUCCAGAGGACCUGGGUUCGAGUCCCAGAAUCUACA